UUAGGAAUCUUCCGCAAUGGGCGAAAGCCUGACGGAGCGAUACCGCUUGAAGGACGAAGCCCUUCGGGGUGUAAACUUCUGAACUCGGGACGAUAAUGACGGUACCGAGGUAAUAGCACCGGCUAACUCCGUGCCAGCAGCCGCGGUAAUACGGAGGGUGCGAGCGUUACCCGGAUUUACUGGGUGUAAAGGGCGUGUAGGCGGUCUCUCAAGUCCGAUGCUAAAGACCGAAGCUCAACUUCGGGGGUGCGUUGGAUACUGUGAGGCUAGACGGUCGGAGAGGGUAGCGGAAUUUCCGGAGUAGCGGUGAAAUGCGCAGAUACCGGAAGGAACGCCGAUAGCGAAAGCAGCUACCUGGACGAUUUGUGACGCUGAGGCGCGAAAGCGUGGGGAGCAAACC
rnacentral:rRNA from 1 species